CCUACGGGAGGCAGCAGUGAGGAAUAUUGGUCAAUGGUCGGAAGACUGAACCAGCCAAGUAGCGUGAAGGAUGAAGGUUCUAUGGAUUGUAAACUUCUUUUAUACGGGAAUAAAACACCUUACGUGUAGGGUCUUGUAUGUACCGUAUGAAUAAGCAUCGGCUAACUACGUGCCAGCAGCCGCGGUAAU
rnacentral:rRNA from 1 species